ACGAAGGGGGCGAGCGUUGUUCGGAUUCACUGGGCAUAAAGGGCGCGUAGGCGGUUCCGUAAGCAGCGUGUGAAAUCCUGCCGCUCAACGGUGGAACGGCACGCUGGACUGCGGUUCUGGAGGACGGGAGGGGGGUGCGGAACUCUAGGUGUAGCGGUGAAAUGCGUAGAUAUCAUUUGGAACGCCAAAGGCGAAAGCAGGCUGCUGGGAGUGAUCUGACACUGAGACGCGAAAGCCAGGGGAGCAAACGGGA
rnacentral:rRNA from 1 species